CCUACGGGCGGCAGCAGUGGGGAAUAUUGGACAAUGGGGGGAACCCUGAUCCAGCCAUGCCGCGUGUGUGAAGAAGGCCCUCGGGUCGUAAAGCACUUUCAGUGAGGAAGAACGCCUGGUGGUUAAUACCCAUCAGGAAAGACAUCACUCACAGAAGAAGCACCGGCUAACUCCGUGCCAGCAGCCGCGGUAAUACGGAGGGUGCGAGCGUUAAUCGGAAUUACUGGGCGUAAAGCGCGCGUAGGUGGCUUGAUAAGCCGGUUGUGAAAGCCCCGGGCUCAACCUGGGAACGGCAUCCGGAACUGUCAAGCUAGAGUGCAGGAGAGGAAGGUAGAAUUCCCGGUGUAGCGGUGAAAUGCGUAGAGAUCGGGAGGAAUACCAGUGGCGAAGGCGGCCUUCUGGACUGACACUGACACUGAGGUGCGAAAGCGUGGGUAGCAAACAGGAUUAGAUACCCCUGUAGUC
rnacentral:rRNA from 1 species